GACGAACGCUGGCGGCGUGCCUAAUACAUGCAAGUCGAGCGCAGGAAAUCAUCCGAACCUUUCGGGGGGACGUUGAUGGAAUGAGCGGCGGACGGGUGAGUAACACGUAAAGCACCUGCCCUCAGGUCUGGGAUAACCACGAGAAAUCGGGGCUAAUACCGGAUGGGUAAUCGGACCGCAUGGUCCGCGGAUGAAAGGCGCUCCGGCGUAGCCUGGGGAUGGCUUUGCGGUGCAUUAGCUAGUUGGUGGGGUAAGGGCCCACCAAGGCGACGAUGCAUAGCCGACCUGAGAGGGUGAUCGGCCACACUGGGACUGAGACACGGCCCAGACUCCUACGGGAGGCAGCAGUAGGGAAUCUUCCACAAUGGACGAAAGUCUGAUGGAGCAACGCCGCGUGAACGAUGAAGGCCUUCGGGUCGUAAAGUUCUGUUGUAAGGGAAGAACAAGUGCCGCAGGCAAUGGCGGCACCUUGACGGUACCUUGCGAGAAAGCCACGGCUAACUACGUGCCAGCCGCCGCGGUAA
rnacentral:rRNA from 1 species